UAAUAAUCGAGAAUAACUUGGGGAGGAGUUAAAGCUACAGCCAUUCAAGAGUGUAAAAGCAGCUAAGUUUUCUCAGGGUUGUUUACAGACACUGGCCUCUGUUUCUAGCAAGCAUGAGAAUCUGACUUCUCCAUUUGAUUCCACAGAUUUAAUCAAGACUCUGCAGUGCUUCUGAGCAGACAAAAAGGACGUUUUGGCUAACUGACAAUACAAAUAAGGCUUGGAUGAGAAAUCCAGAAGAAAGUAUGUGUGAAAGAAAAAGAUGACAUCUGUGCAUGGCAAAACAAAUCCAAAGAUUAUUACAAUAAAAACAAACGGAGGUCAAGAGAACACUUACUAGUAAAGGAUUCUACGACUUCUGCACACUCCCUUCCAACUCCUGCUUGAGUCCAAGACUGGAGGACACUCCUUGCUCUCUCAGCCAAAGGGAAGCAGGAAUUAAAGCAGGAGUGAAGAGAAGAACAAGACCACCUAGCCUCUAGCUCAAGUUGGGAUUGAAGCAGAAUUUCUCUGUCUGCCAAGCCCCC
rnacentral:lncRNA from 1 species